GCUAUUUAAAAUGAUACAGUUUUAAGGAUGUUCUGUAUAAAAAGAAGAAAAGUGAUAACCUAAGUAAUAAUCUCAGAAAGUGUUACUUUGGGUAAAAAUAUUAUAAAGAAGUUAACUGAAGGCUACAAAUUGUAUUUUUCUACUACCUUGCUAUCUUCUACUCUUCACUAAAAUAAUACAUAUGACUUGGAGUUGCUGUAUACAGGUGUUUCUUAUGUCUCCUUACUAAAUCUCUCUAAAGAUUGCAUGCCAUUUAGAUAUGGAUAAGAAAUAAUUCCAGAUAUUUUGGCAGUUUGGACUUGGGUUUGUUCAUAGUCCAUAGGCAAAAUAACUAGUUUGAAUUUUAAAGAAAAUAAAGAUUUUAUUUCAAUUUUAGUGAACUUAUUUCCAUAAGUUCUAUUUUCCCCCCAUAUUUACAGACAAAUUUAUUUGUAAAUUAAUUUACAACAUAUUACUCAAAGUCAUUGGAUUAUAAGAAGUAAAAAGCAAUUAUUCUUUUAAUCUGUUUAUUCUUGAAGUGUGUUUCUUGCUCACUAAAAAAAUCUUAUGUUUAAUUAGAGAUACAAAUGCAA
rnacentral:lncRNA from 1 species